AAAAGCAUGGGAGGGAAGAAAAGGGAGUUAGCAAGUCUUCAAAAUCUCCCGUUUCGCCCACUGCUUUCUUUUUUAUGUUUUGUAAAGCUGUCCAGCACAUAAGGUAGAGUUCUGAGAUGGUAAUCCUGCAGUUAAGGAGAAUGGGAGAAUAGGAGGAAGAACCUAUAGGGCAGGGCAAGUCAUUUUUCAAUCUAAAUUGGCAAUUCAUGGCAAGCGUCUGAAUUGUUUGGUAUUACCUGGGAAAGAGUGGAUAAAGACGGCCAUAUAAUAGGUACCAUUUACAUUUCUGAGUGCUCUUCUCAAAAGGAAUUACAUUAGGGGAAGAACCCUACUCAUGGCUUCAUUGUGUGCAAGACACUGCACCGGGCUGCACUUGACUGUCUUACUGUAAGUGGCAGUUUUGGAUGGAAGACCUAGCCAGACUGCCAAACAGUAAUGGAAAAUGAACUUAUGUUACCUGUUGUACCUUUCACUUUGAAAUACAUCAAUCACUGAGGAGAACAAGCACCAUCUGAUGACUUCUCUUAAAAGGAACUGAAAGGGAUAUGGAACCAGGACAGAGGAGAAAGUGAUAAUUAGCUAUUUUUCAGAGUACUCUAGACUUACAGCGUAUGUAAAAUUAAAGUUGUGUGGCUA